CCUACGGGUGGCAGCAGUGAGGAAUAUUGGUCAAUGGGCGCGAGCCUGAACCAGCCAUGCCGCGUGAAGGAAGACUGCCCUACGGGUUGUAAACUUCUUUUAUAAGGGACUAAAGUGAGGCACGUGUACCUGUUUGUAUGUACUUUAUGAAUAAGGAUCGGCUAACUCCGUGCCAGCAGCCGCGGUAAUCCGGAGGAUCCUAGCGUUAUCCGGAUUUAUUGGGUUUAAGGGGAGCGUAGAUGGGUUGUUAAGUCAGGUGUGAAAGUUUGGGGCUCAACCGUGAAAUUGCAAUUGAUACUGGCAGUCUUGAGUACAGUUGAGGUAGGCGGAAUUCGUGGUGUAGCGGUGAAAUGCUUAGAUAUCACGAAGAACACCGAUUGCGAAGGCAGCUUACGAAACUGCCACUGACGUUGAGGCACGAAAGCGUGGGGAGCAAACAGGAUUAGAUACCCCAGUAGUC
rnacentral:rRNA from 1 species